rnacentral:rRNA from 1 species
GAUGAACGCUGGCGGCGUGCCUAAUACAUGCAAGUCGAGCGAACGGACGAGAAGCUUGCUUCUCUGAUGUUAGCGGCGGACGGGUGAGUAACACGUGGAUAACCUACCUAUAAGACUGGGAUAACUUCGGGAAACCGGAGCUAAUACCGGAUAAUAUUUUGAACCGCAUGGUUCAAAAGUGAAAGACGGUCUUGCUGUCACUUAUAGAUGGAUCCGCGCUGCAUUAGCUAGUUGGUAAGGUAACGGCUUACCAAGGCAACGAUGCAUAGCCGACCUGAGAGGGUGAACCGCCACACUGGAACUGAGACACGGUCCAGACUCCUACGGGAGGCAGCAGUAGGGAAUCUUCCGCAAUGGGCGAAAGCCUGACGGAGCAACGCCGCGUGAGUGAUGAAGGUCUUCGGAUCGUAAAACUCUGUUAUUAGGGAAGAACAUAUGUGUAAGUAACUGUGCACAUCUUGACGGUACCUAAUCAGAAAGCCACGGCUAACUACGUG